rnacentral:rRNA from 1 species
CCUACGGGAGGCUGCAGUGGGGAAUAUUGGACAAUGGGCGAAAGCCUGAUCUAGCCAUGCCGCGUGUGUGAAGAAGGCCUUCGGGUUGUAAAGCACUUUCAGUGGGGAAGAAAGCCUUGGGGCUAAUACCCUCGAGGAAGGACAUCACCCACAGAAGAAGCACCGGCUAACUCCGUGCCAGCAGCCGCGGUAAUACGGAGGGUGCGAGCGUUAAUCGGAAUUACUGGGCGUAAAGCGCGCGUAGGCGGUCUGAUAAGCCGGUUGUGAAAGCCCCGGGCUCAACCUGGGAACGGCAUCCGGAACUGUCAGGCUAGAGUGCAGGAGAGGAAGGUAGAAUUCCCGGUGUAGCGGUGAAAUGCGUAGAGAUCGGGAGGAAUACCAGUGGCGAAGGCGGCCUUCUGGACUGACACUGACGCUGAGGUGCGAAAGCGUGGGUAGCAAACAGGAUUAGAUACCCUAGUAGUC